rnacentral:RNase_P_RNA from 1 species
UGAGCAGACUAUGCGGUAGCGGAAACGUUUUAGUUUACGAGGAAAGUCCGAGCAUCAUAGAGCAGGGUAGCUGCUAACAGCAGCCGAGGGCGACCUUAGGGCAAGUGCAACAGAAAUAUACUGCCUUGAUUUUUCAGGGUAAUGGUGGAAAGGCGAGGUAAGAGCU